rnacentral:rRNA from 1 species
GCCGCGUGAGUGAAGAAGGCCUUUGGGUUGUAAAGCUCUUUUGUAGGGGAAGAUAAUGACUGUACCCUAAGAAUAAGGUCCGGCUAACUUCGUGCCAGCAGCCGCGGUAAUACGAAGGGACCUAGCGUAGUUCGGAAUUACUGGGCGUAAAGCGCGCGUAGGCCGUUGAGUUAGUUAAUUGUGAAAUCCCAAAGCUUAACUUUGGAACUGCAAUUAAAACUGCUCGACUAGAGUUUGACAGAGGAAAGCGGAAUACAUAGUGUAGAGGUGAAAUUCGUAGAUAUUAUGUAGAACACCAGUUGCGAAGGCGGCUCUCUGGGUCAACACUGACGCUGAGGCGCGAAAGUAUGGGUAGCAAAGAGGAUUAGAUACCCUCGUAGUCCAUACCAUAAACGAUGAUUGCUAGAUGUUGGAAAUUUAUUUUCAGUAUCGCAGCUAACGCAUUAAGCAAUCCGCCUGGGGAGUACGACCGCAAGGUUAAAACUCAAAUGAAUUGACGGGGACCCGCACAAGCGGUGGAGCAUGUGGUUUAAUUCGAAGAUACGCGCAGAACCUUACCAAGCCUUGACAUGUCUGUCGCGAGUUUAGGAAACUAGACUUUUCGGUUCGGCCGGACAGAACACAGGUGCUGCAUGGCUGUCGUCAGCUCGUGUC